rnacentral:ribozyme from 1 species
AAAAGAAGAUCUAAAAAAAGUAAAUAUAGAAAUAUAUAUAUACAUCUUUUUGUCUUUUUUUUUUAUUUCGUUCUCUUUUGUUUCUCCUAUUUUU